ACAAAGUACUGAAAGGAGUUGAUUUUCGAGCUAAAACACGUGGCUCUCAUCACAAAGUCUUGUAUGUCUGAAGCCUUCUGUGGAGCUGCACCAGGCCUGGCAAUCUGUAGUGCACCUCCCAGCUCACCUCCUCUUCCAAACCUUCCUGGGUCACAUCAUGCAGAUAGGUGGAGCGGGGCAAGGGCCAACCUGUGAGCUGUCUGAACUGCAGUAAUAGAGUGAUCCCCUCUGCAGACUAAAGAAGGAGCCAUCAGACAACAAUAACACAUAAGCGGUGCACUGAACAUUGCAAUGGAAACC
rnacentral:lncRNA from 1 species